UUCAACAACAUUACAUAGAUGAUACUGCAGACCAUGAAGAUGAGGUUGUACAGUGCCCACCAGAAUAUGUUGAUGAACAAGAAGUCUAGUCAGCAACUCAAGUAAUACAGAACAUCACAUGUGUGCUGUCAUCUUUGAAAGAGGAUCAACACUUGUUAAGACAACGCAAGAGGAAGUCAGAUAUGAUGAGUAGU